rnacentral:rRNA from 1 species
AACGAACGCUGGCGGCAUGCCUAACACAUGCAAGUCGAACGAGACCUUCGGGUCUAGUGGCGCACGGGUGCGUAACGCGUGGGAACCUGCCCUUAGGUUCGGAAUAACUCCCCGAAAGGGGUGCUAAUACCGGAUAAUGUCUUCGGACCAAAGAUUUAUCGCCUUUGGAUGGGCCCGCGUUGGAUUAGCUAGUUGGUAGGGUAAAAGCCUACCAAGGCGACGAUCCAUAGCUGGUCUGAGAGGAUGAUCAGCCACACUGGGACUGAGACACGACCCAGACUCCUACGGGAGGCAGCAGUGGGGAAUAUUGGACAAUGGGCGAAAGCCUGAUCCAGCAAUGCUGCGUGAGUGAUGAAGGCCUUAGGGUUGUAAAGCUCUUUUACCCGGGAUGAUAAUGACAGUACCGGGAGAAUAAGCUCCGGCUAACUCCGUG